rnacentral:rRNA from 1 species
ACGGAAGCAGCAGUGGGGAAUAUUGGGCAAUGGGCGAAAGCCUGACCCAGCAACGCCGCGUGAAGGAAGAAGGUCUUCGGAUUGUAAACUUCUUUUAUGAGGGACGAAGGACGUGACGGUACCUCAUGAAUAAGCCACGGCUAACUACGUGCCAGCAGCCGCGGUAAUACGUAGGUGGCAAGCGUUAUCCGGAUUUACUGGGUGUAAAGGGCGCGUAGGCGGGGAUGCAAGUCAGAUGUGAAAUCUAUGGGCUUAACUCAUAAACUGCAUUUGAAACUGUGUCUCUUGAGUGUCGGAGAGGUAGAUGGAAUUCCUUGUGUAGCGGUGAAAUGCGUAGAUAUAAGGAAGAACACCAGUGGCGAAGGCGAUCUACUGGACGAUAACUGACGCUGAGGCGCGAAAGCGUGGGGAGCAAACAGGAUUAGAUACCCUGGUA